AUUGAACGCUAGCGGCAUGCUUUACACAUGCAAGUCGAACGAGUGGCGGACGGGUGAGUAAUAUAUCGGAACGUGCCCAGUAGCGGGGGAUCACUACUCGACAGAGUGGCUAAUACCGCAUACUCUUGGAGCGGCCGAUAUGGGAUUGGCUAGUUGGUGGGGUAAAGGCUCACAAAGGCGACGAGCCGUAGCUGGUCUGAGAGGACGACCAGCCACACUGGGACUGAGACACGGUCCAGACUCCUACGGGAGGCAGCAGUGGGGAAUAUUGGACAAUGGGUGAAACCCUGAUCCAGCCAUCCCGCGUGUAUGAGAAGGCCUUCGGGUUGUAAAGUACUUUUGGCAGAGAGGCGGUAUCUGCAGAAUAAGCACCGGCUAACUACGUGCCAGCAGCCGCGGUAAUUC
rnacentral:rRNA from 1 species